rnacentral:rRNA from 1 species
UAACGGGAAGAACCUUACCAGGUCUUGACAUCUUCUGCUAACUUAAGAGAUUAAGCGUUCCCUUCGGGGACGGAAUGACAGGUGGUGCAUGGUUGUCGUCAGCUCGUGUCGUGAGAUGUUGGGUUAAGUCCCGCAACGAGCGCAACCCUUAUUGUCAGUUGCCAGCAUUUAGUUGGGCACUCUGGCGAGACUGCCGGUGACAAACCGGAGGAAGGUGGGGAUGACGUCAAAUCAUCAUGCCCCUUAUGACCUGGGCUACACACGUGCUACAAUGGACGGUACAACGAGUCGCGAAACCGCGAGGUCAAGCUAAUCUCUUAAAGCCGUUCUCAGUUCGGAUUGUAGGCUGCAACUCGCCUACAUGAAGUUGGAAUCGCUAGUAAUCGUGGAUCAGC